UUCACCAAGAAGGAAAAGAAAAAAAAAAGAAGAAACCCCAGCUCUAAAGCCGCCGCCGCCGCCAUCACCGCCGACCACAGCCCGCCGCGCCAGCCGUCGCGUAUGACUCGAAGUAUGCGAAGCCGCGCAGCCUUGCCGCAAGCCAUGCCUUCCGUCAAGCGUUCACCGCAGGCCAACCCGAGCCGAUAGCCGAGCUGAUCGCCAGCCUGAUUUCUUCCGCGCGCCACCUCCAUCCAUCGUGCUCCAGCCAAACGCCGCCAUCGUGAAGCUCCACCGGUUGCCGCUGUCUCCCUCACCUAUCCCGUCGACCACCCCGAGCAAAUCGUUCGUCGGACCUGCGCUGCCAGCUGCCCGAAUUAUGAAACCUGUGUGCCACGCUUCGUUCACGCGUGAAUUCGACCCGACAGCGUCUCCGCUUCGAACCGAGCGACCCACGUUCACCCGCGUUGAGCCGCACGCAUGUCACGUCGAGCCGCUCGCACGCCGCGUCUGCACCGCUAGCCGAGCCGCAUCCAUCCGCAUUAAGCCUCACGCGCGCAGUGCCUGCGCCCAAGCCGAGCCGUGCUGCACGUUUGUUGGAGCCGAGCCGCGUCGCGUCUCCUUCCUUCCAGUCGAGCGGCCAAACCCUUUUGAGCCACCUAGCUUUUUCGGUCUUUUGCACCUAUUUUGGAACACCUUGGGCCAGUUGAUUUUGAAGCGAUGGAUUUCUUCAAUAAGGGCUCAAGCGUUGCAACCUUGACCCAGGGGCCUCGCUUCUUAGAAAGCGCAUUUUCUUGCUGUUAGGACUCGUUGAGCAAAUCUCCAGGUAAGAGAUUUCUACUACUAGCUCUACGACUAGAAUCAUGAGACCGCAAGCAUUCCUAGUUAUGCACGUUGAGGACUAGACUGUAUAAUGAUAUGUCAAUUAAUGAGGGCAUGAUGUGACUGAUGAUGUGAUUCGAUAUGAUGGUAUGGUAUAAUGUGAUGACGCGGCUUGUUAUGACUUUAUGUUUGGAUAUUGUGAUGAGAUGUGACUUGAUGAUUAGACUGAUAUGAUUACGAGAUGAUGCUAUGUUAUAUGUAUGCUAUGGUUAGGGUACCUGUUAGCUUAACCUAUUAGAGUCGUACCUACAUGGGUGUCCUUCGGAAUCACCACCUAUGUAAGACUGCGUAGUCCGACGGGACCGCCAGUCUGGCAUGGAUAUAUAUAUGAUUCGAGUGAAUCGACGGGAUCCUCGCAGCCUGAUUGUCUUAGCGUUUCCUCUGGGUUCGCUACAGACCAGUAUGUUCUAGGUGCUCCCUCGGGACACCGAAGACCAGAUUCUGUUCCUACGAGAGCGCAUGUUGCACGUGUUCGGGAACGUGCCAAUUAUUGGGUACUAUUUUCAGGACUCUAAUAGGAAGUUAACAGACACCUAGUGGGACUAGUAGUGGGUCCCUUACUGAGUAUUUUAUACUCACUCUUUCCAUGUCACAUUUUUCAGGUAGAGGCAGGGGUAAGGGCAAGGGGAAGCUGGCGGGCGACCAGAAGUGACCGUGGCGACCCAUAUAGAUCUCAGCUUACGCUUACACCCCAGUUUAAACUUUCAGUAUUUGAAUUUUUAUUAUUAUUUAUUUCGUUUCUUCAAAAGUAGA